AAACUUGCGAGCUAUAAAAAUAAUAUGAAGAGAGUUACUUCGAGAUUAAAGCAUGCUGUAGCAUCGCAGCCUAGUCUUUUGUUUCGGUUUGAGUUGCACAUAAACAAAGUGCUGAUCAAUUUUAACGAGGAUCCCUCCUCUCAAACAAGGACGUUCAUCUUAGGAUUGAAGCGGAGAGCUAAACUUCUUUAUACUAAUAAACAAACCUUAACCCUGCUACCCGGUGGUAGUGGCGCAGAAAUAAAUUUUAAUCAGAAUUUGACCUUACUUUCCACUUUGUUUAAGGAAAAAGAUAAAUUUGAAAAAAAGGAGUACAAAAUAAUUUUGGAG